UACGAAGGGGGCUAGCGUUGCUCGGAAUCACUGGGCGUAAAGCGCACGUAGGCGGGUUCUUAAGUCAGGGGUGAAAUCCUGGAGCUCAACUCCAGAACUGCCUUUGAUACUGGGAAUCUCGAGUCCGGGAGAGGUGAGUGGAACUGCGAGUGUAGAGGUGAAAUUCGUAGAUAUUCGCAAGAACACCAGUGGCGAAGGCGGCUCACUGGCCCGGUACUGACGCUGAGGUGCGAAAGCGUGGGUAGCAAACAGG
rnacentral:rRNA from 1 species